GAACGCUGGCGGCGUGCCUAAUACAUGCAAGUCGAGCGAACCACUUCGGUGGUGAGCGGCGAACGGGUGAGUAACACGUAGGUGAUCUGCCCAUCAGACGGGGACAACGAUUGGAAACGAUCGCUAAUACCGGAUAGGACGAAAGUUUAAAGGUGCUUCUGGCACCGCUGAUGGAUGAGCCUGCGGCGCAUUAGCUAGUUGGUAGGGUAAAGGCCUACCAAGGCGACGAUGCGUAGCCGACCUGAGAGGGUGAACGGCCACACUGGGACUGAGACACGGCCCAGACUCCUACGGGAGGCAGCAGUAGGGAAUCUUCGGCAAUGGGCGAAAGCCUGACCGAGCAACGCCGCGUGAAUGAUGAAGGCCUUCGGGUUGUAAAAUUCUGUUAUAAG
rnacentral:rRNA from 1 species